GAUGAACGCUAGCGGGAGGCUUAACACAUGCAAGUCGAGGGGCAGCACGAUCCCGAGUAAUCGGGAUUGGUGGCGACCGGCGCACGGGUGAGUAACACGUAUGCAACCUACCCUGUACAGGGGGAUAACCCGGAGAAAUUCGGACUAAUAUCCCAUAAUGAUAUUUGAGGGCAUCCUUGGAUAUUUAAAGCUCAGGCGGUACGGGAUGGGCAUGCGGAACAUUAGCUAGUUGGGAGGUAACGGCCUACCAAGGCAACGAUGUUUAGGGGACCUGAGAGGGUGAUCCCCCACACUGGUACUGAGACACGGACCAGACUCCUACGGGAGGCAGCAGUGAGGAAUAUUGGUCAAUGGGGCGCAAGCCUGAACCAGCCAUCCCGCGUGCAGGAAGACGGCCCUAUGGGUUGUAAACUGCUUUUCCAGGGGGAGAAUUUUUCUGUCGUGACAGGAAUUGACGGUACCCUGGGAAUAAGCAUCGGCUAACUCCGUGCCAGCAGCCGCGGUAAU
rnacentral:rRNA from 1 species